GACGAACCGUGCGAACGUUGUUCGGAAUCACUGGCUUAAAGGGCGCGUAGGCGGGUUCGCAAGUCUGUGGUGAAAGCCCCCAGCUUAACUGGGGAAGUGCCGUGGAUACUGCGAAUCUUGAGGAGGGUAGGGGCGUCUGGAACGGUCGGUGGAGCGGUGAAAUGCGUUGAUAUCGACCGGAACUCCGGUGGCGAAGGCGAGGCGCUGGACCCUUUCUGACGCUGAGGCGCGAAAGCCAGGGGAGCAAACGGG
rnacentral:rRNA from 1 species